AGCCUGAUGAAUGAAUGUUGGUGAGGAGAUGAAGCUUGUAUACGGAGCUGAUGAAAAUGUCAUCUGGCACAACCAUUUGGGAAAAGAAUGUUGCAUUCUGGUCUGGCCUCAAUGCCCGUGACACCGCCUGAGACCCGAAGUGCCCUUGCUUUCUCCUCUCCUGGUGCCAUGGAUGCUGCAGUCUCCUCCACGCUCGGGACAUGCUCCUGAAGCUGAGAUGCCCUCACCCCUAUGCACACCCACGGUCCUGUCUUCUCUGUCUCCAGCAAAGGAAAGGAUUCAGAGGUGCCAGCCCGCAGGCUUCUCUUCUGCGUUACUGCUCUUGACAGCCACCAGGAGGAGCCACACGUCUCCCAGGCUGGACGAGCAAUCUUCCAGGUGGAAGCAGGAGGAUACAAUUCCCAUGCCAAGAAUGCUUCUUGUCACUGGACAAAGCCCAAAUCUCCAUAAUACAGCCUUCUGUUUUUAUACGACCACGAAUUCUUGAUAUCUUUGACUCCCCAGUAAGCAUGCAAUUUCCAAAUGUAAACUAUCCCUAAAUUAUAGUUUUCCCCAACUCUAA